CCCGCGUCCGUGGUUGCAAGUCGAUGCCAGUCGCAGGCGAAACGACCCACAUAAGCGGGAAAAAUUCCCGUGAGCAUGGUGCGGCUUAGAAGUAAGUCCGGCCAGCCUUCGGGCUGAGAGGGCCAGUAGUGGGGAGGCCAUUGCCUUAGGAGCGAGCGCCCCAGCCGGCGGGUGUGGGGGCAAAGACCAGGUCGGGCGGGC
rnacentral:ncRNA from 1 species